rnacentral:tRNA from 1 species
CAGGGAGACAACAAAAUGUUUAAUAUUAAUUUUGUCACCUUAGGUCGAUCGGUAUCUCACAUUUUUAAUUAAUUUAAAAAUUUUAUUUCCUAAGUUUUUUCUAGGUCACACCCAUUACUUUUCCUGGGCCAUUAGCUCAGGUGGUUAGAGCGCACCCCUGAUAAGGGUGAGGUCCCUGGUUCAAGUCCAGGAUGGCCCAUCAUAUCUCUAUGUUGGGGGUAUAGCUCAGUUGGUAGAGCGCCUGCUUUGCAAGCAGGAUGUCAGCGGUUCGAGUCCGCUUACCUCCACUGAUCACCACCUCUUCCAUAUUUAAAGGAAAUGUUUUGAGCUGUGAUCAAAUCUGAACGAAUCUAGCUUCCUAAUGACCUUAUUAAGAUGCUGGACUCAUUGAAUUAAUUUCAUUGUUUUCAGAGAACCUUGACAACUGCAUAGAUUAUUUUUAAAGACAAUAAGCAUCUUUAAUGAUGCAGAUUUAUUAUUUGUGCAAAUGCAUUAAUAACAAUUCUAUUAAGCUGAUGCUUCAAUUUUGAAGUUAUU